rnacentral:rRNA from 1 species
GUAAGGAAUAUUGGGCAAUGGGCGCAAGCCUGACCCAGCCAUGCCGCGUGAAGGAUGACGGCCCUAUGGGUUGUAAACUUCUUUUGUACGGGAAAAAACCACCGGUCGUGACCGGUGCUGAUGGUACCGUAAGAAUAAGCAUCGGCUAACUCCGUGCCAGCAGCCGCGGUAAUACGGAGGAUGCAAGCGUUAUCCGGAUUCAUUGGGUUUAAAGGGUGCGCAGGCGGAAUAAUAAGUCAGUGGUGAAAUCCUACGGCUCAACUGUAGAACUGCCAUUGAUACUGUUAUUCUUGAGUACACUUGAAGUGGGCGGAAUGUGUCAUGUAGCGGUGAAAUGCUUAGAUAUGACACAGAACACCGAUCGCGAAGGCAGCUCACUAAAUUGUAACUGACGCUCAUGCACGAAAGCGUGGGGAUCAAACAGGAUUAGAAACCCUUGUAGUCC